CGAGCUGGGUUCAGAACGUCGUGAGACAGUUCGGUCCCUAUCCGUCGCAGGCGUAGGAAAUUUGAGGAGACCUGUCCUUAGUACGAGAGGACCGGGAUGGACGUACCGCUGGUGUACCAGUUGUUCUGCCAAGGGCAUAGCUGGGUAGCUAAGUACGGAAAGGAUAAGCGCUGAAAGCAUCUAAGCGCGAAGCCUACUUCGAGAUAAGAUUUCCCACCGUAAGGUUAAGACCCCAUGAAGACUACAUGGUUGAUAGGUCAGAGGUGGAAGUGUGGUAACAUAUGUAGCUUACUGAUACUAAUAGGUCGAGGACUUGACCA
rnacentral:rRNA from 1 species